rnacentral:rRNA from 1 species
AUGCGCCGUGCCGGAAGCUCUACGGCUGGAACCAGCGAAGUAAAUUGCUGGAACCGGCUACUUGAUUUGCUACAAGAGAGGAUUCAAGACCUUGCAGCCAUGGUGGUGGAGGUAUUUUUUGCUGCAACCCGCGAGCUGAUUUGCUGGAACCAUCUACUGGAUUUGCUGGAACCGGCUACUGGAUUUGCUACAAGAGAGGAUUCAAGACCUUGCAGCCAUGGUGGUGGAGGUAUUUUUUGCUGCAACCCGCGAGCUGAUUUGCUGGAACCGGCUACUGGAUUUGCUGGAUCCAGUGAAGUUUUUGUUGUGACCGGCAACGGCGACACAUGUCUUUUUGUUGUAACUGCUAUACUAUUUUCAUGCCAUCGGUGA